rnacentral:lncRNA from 1 species
GGACACUGACAGAUGAGUGGUGUAGUUCUGUGCCUGGGAACCAAACCAGGGCCACCAAAGCAGAGGAUGCUGAACUUAACCACUAGGCCACUGGGACUGGCCCUCUAUCUCUUUACUUUUAAUCUGUGUCUUUAUAUUUAAAGCAGGUUGCUUAUAGAUUGCAUAUCACUGGGUCUUAUUUUUUUAUCCACUCUGUCAAUCUCUGUCUUUUAAUUGGUGUAUUUAAACUAUUCAUAUUUAAAGGGAUGACCUGUAUAGUUGAAUUAAUGUCCAUAAUAUUUGAAUCUCUUCUCUACUUGUUGCACUUGUUCUUUGUUUCUUUUUUGAUCUUUCACUAUCUUUCUACCUUCUUUAGCUUUAAUGGAGCAUUUUUAAUAUUCCAUUUUUUUCUCUCUUAGCAUAUCAAGUAUUCUUUUUUAAAAUUUUUUAAUGAUUGCCCUAGAGUUUGAAAUAUACAUUUACAACUAAUCUAAGUUUAAAAUAGUGUGAUAUCACUUCAUGGGUAGUUCAGAUACUUUAUAAGAGUAUUCGCAAUUCCUUCCUCCCAUCCCUUAUAACAUUGCUGUCAUUCAUUGCACCUUUCCCUAAGCUAUGUUUACUCAGGUUACCCAAUAUAUUGGUGCUGUUAUCAUUUCAACAAAUACAUAUAUUGGAUCAAUUAAAAACUUAAAAUUAAAGGUUUUAGUUUACCUUUAUUUAUUCUUCCUUCAGUGCUCUUCUUUUUUUGUGUAGAUCUCAGUUUCUGACCUGUUUUCCUCUCUCUGAAGAACACCUUUAAUGUUCUUGCAAGGCAGACCUCCUGGCAGAAAAUUCAGUUUUUGUUUGUCUGAGAAAGUCUUUAAAUUCCCUUCACUUUUGAAGGACAAUUUUACUGGAUACAAAAUUCUAGUUUGGCCAAUUUCUAUUGACAUACCUUCAAGAUCGCUGAUUCUUUCCUCUGCCUUGCCCAGUCUACUGGGCCAGCACAGUGGCAUAGUGGUUAAGUGCACAUGCUCCGCUUCAGUGGCCUGGAGUUCACAAGUUAGGAUUGUAUAGGCGUGAACCUAUACACUGCUCAUCAAGCCAUGCUGUGGAAGCAUCCCAGCACUUCCCAGGCCCUCCACUACGGUGUUGUAUAGAAGUGGUUGGAGAUGUCAGCCUUGAUGUGUUUCUGAUCUUAGAGGAAAGCAUUACAUCUUCCACCAGCAAAUACAAUGUUUCAUCACAGAUACCCUUUAUCAACACAGAUACUACCAAGACUGGAACUGCAGACAGUCUGCUCAUAGCCAGCUGCCUGAAGCCAUUGUCUCCUAAUUCUGCUUAUCCUGGGAUACCAUCCUGAUAGCUCUGCCUGCCCACACUCAGCAAUAUCAUGUCGUUUGUAUACACAACUGCAGAUGACAUGCUGAAUUUUUCCAAAUGCUUUUUCUCUGUCUUUUGAAGAUGUCAUAUGGUUUUCUCCUUUUUUCUAUUAAUAUGGUGAAUUAUAUUCUUUUGUUCACAUGUUAAACCAGAUAGGCUUUAUUUGUUUCUAGGAGAAACCUUAUUUUAUCAUGAUAUGUUAUACUUUUACAUACUGUUGUAGUCAAAUUGCUGAAGUUUUAUUUUAUUUUAUUUUAAAGAAUUUUUAAAUCCCUGUUUACAAGGAAUAUUGAUCUGUGUUUUCUUAUGAUGUCUUUGUCAGGUUUGGGAUUGAAAGUAAUAAAGACUUCCUAAGACAAUUGAGAAGUAGUCCUUCCUCUGUUUUCUGAAAGACAAUGUGUAGAGUUGGAAUUAUUUCUUCUUCAAGUGUUUGAUAGAAUUAACUUAUGAAACCAACUUAACUUCAAGUUUCUUUGUGGGAAGACUUUCUACUAAAAUUGAAUUUCUUUAAUAAUUAGUAAGCUACUAAUAUUUUCUAUUUCUUCCUUGGAUCAGUUUUGGUAAUUUGCAUCUUUCAAGAAAUUUAUCCCUUCCCUCUCUGUUGUCUGAUUUAAUGUCACGAUGUUAUAAUUCAUUCAUGAUUUUAUUAUGUCUUUAGGAUCUUCAGUGAUCUU